CUCAUGGGUGUCUUUGUGUGUCUGCGUUUCUGUACAUGUGUGUGCGAGCCAAGGGGUGUCUGGGUGGGAUGUAUUCGGGGCAACAAACCUGACGUAUCCUCUGAAACAGGAAUGGCUGCAGAGGCUCUCCCCCACCUUCAGAGGUUGGAGUCAUCAGCUUUCAGAUUCAUUUUCCUUAAGGAAGGUAAUGGGACCCCCGUCCUCAGCCCGCUGCUCCUGGGAACCAGGCUGAGAUGAA